UGUGACGACGGGCUGGACGCGCCGUCGCUGGAGGCGAUGCGCCGCGCCGCCGCCGCCUGCCGCGCCGACGCCGACGCUGACGACGACGCCGACGGCGAGGACGAGAGGGAGGAGAACGUGACGUACGACGCCGGCAUGGGGGUCAUAAAGGAAGAGGCGAACGAUAUGCUCCCCGAAGACUAGUUGCUCCCAGCGGCGGCAGGUGGCAGCAGGGAUGAUGUGCUCCCGGAGACUAGUCGUUCCGGGCGGCGGCAGGUGGCAGCAGGGACGAUGUGUCUCCAAAGACUAGUCGUUCGCGGCGGCGGCAGGUGGCAGCAGGGAUGAUGUGUUCCUGAAGACGUCGUCGCCAUAUCAAUGCAAUCACGAUGUGUUCACCGGCAUGGCCCACCUGGGAACAUUUAAUGAUAGGAAGUCAUUGCCAUGCAGGAAUUUCAUGUCGCUUUAAUGUCAUAAUCAUCGCCAUGUUAUGUGUAGUACCCAUUGCAUUGUACCACCCCUCGACCCCUCGCAUUGUAUUGUUUUAUCUCAAGUGUUUCAGCGGUCCCGACCUGCUGUGUAGGUCUCACGCUGUGUGGAGUGCUCAGUCCCGUUGUUCAACUGUUGUGCUUCCGUGAGUUUGUAAAAAGCCUUGAGAAUUUGUAUUUACGUUGCGGGCAGGGUACAGACCACCAACAGCGCGGUACUAUUCCUUGUUGUGCACGCGAAACCCAGCCUGAAAGUGAACGUCCACUUGGCGUUGCCUGCUGCUCGUAGGGCAUAGCGCCUUCACUCGCAACGAUAUGUGUGCUGUGAUUAUUCUAUUGGUUCGUAUCUAGUGGUUAGUUUGUUCAUGAGUUUUCGUUGGUUAAUUGCGCGUUUAGCACUGAACCGACGUGUGGAAAUCCAUUAUAGCGUUUGCGAUGUGUGAUGGUUCUCAUUUAGGCUGGUAGUAUUUACUCUUGUGGAUCCUCGCACCGAAUGUUUAUUCUCAGGUUAGUUUAUGCACGAAGCGUUUGAGUGUCCUCUGGACCGUCCUGUACCGGUCCGGUGGAGGUAUUUCGGCGCCCGGUCGAAUGUGCACCAGGACUGUUUUACUGCGCGAAAUUGUUCUCAGCUCUUUACCGUAUGACACAUUGAACUCAAAUUUCGACUGUUCGGAUUAUCAUUUCAGCAAAAGUGAAUGAUGGUUUCACGUCUCACGAGCUUUAAUGCAAUCCUCGUUCUUAGACGUCCUCGACAUCGUUUAACCUUAGGUUAAGUAUGCUUUCACGGUUCCCUUUCAGCCCCGCGUGUGGUUGUCACUCCGCGGUCUCAGGGUUUAGUCUUUAAUAAACUUAAACGAGCUGUA